AAAAGGUGGAAGCUUCCUAGCCGCAGGAUUAAAUUGAAUGGCCAAGAUUGCUUGAUUCUCUAACUCCGGAUAAAGUGAUCCAGAAAGGAUCUCAAUAUGAAAUGACUCGAUUUUACCAAAUUUUAGUGAACAAAGUGAGAUUAAUUUCAGAGAUAAAUCAAUAAUAAGCCUCUUUUAAUAUAAAACCAUUUUUACUUUAUUUUAUUUUGUGUUGUGAAAAUUAGAUAGUCGAAAUUAGGCUCAUUAAGUCUCGAAUUUUCGUGCUUGCAAGUAUAUGAAUCAAAUGACCGUAUAGCAUAUAAGCACGGAGAUCCCACAAAGAUCGAAUUGAUUCUAAAAAUCUUACUACCUAAAUUGAAACAAAUUGUAAUUGAGAAGCUUUAAUGGAAAAUAGAGAAAAUUUGAAUUAAACUAAAAAUGAAAUAUGACUUGAAAAUAAAAUGCAUGAAAUAUUAAAAUUAAAAACAUAAGAAAAGAAGACAUAGGGCAUCCGAAAACACCGUAACCAAUUCUACUUAAUUCCCUUAAUAUGUUAUGCUCAAGUAAAUCCUCGAUAUUGAUGAUCGAUUUUCCCUAAUUUAUUCAAUGGUCAUGGCAUCUGAUUGCAUCAAAAGUAUCCCUCCUUGUUAACCCUCUAUGGCAUCUAGAUGAAUUUAAACAAGUAAGAAUCCGUUAAACUCUAUGGAAAUCGUUGAAAAAUCACACAAACCCUAAUUGAAUGGCAUCUACAAAUAGAUGUUUAUGGUAUUAAUUGCAAGAAGCUAAACCCAAGUUAAGUAUGACAUGACACACCCCGACCUAAAUCAGGGCGUGCUGGCCGUCACGUGAGGGUGAUGUAACCAUGUGCACAUUGCGGAAGCAAUAAUGAUAUGGAGAAAUACGAGUGAAUAAAAAAAAACCAAACUACUAAAAGUACUAGAUAAGAUAAGAU
rnacentral:lncRNA from 1 species